AAGGAAUUUAAUUUUGUUGUCAGAGUAGUAAUAGUUAGGGUCUUGAAACUCAAAAAAUUUGGCGGUAUUUUAGUCUAUUUAGAGGAACCUGUAAUGUAAUCGAUAAUCCACGUUGGACCUAACUUGGUUUUGUAAUAUUCAAUUUGAAUACCGCCGUUUUUGAAAAUUUUAUUAGAAUAAUAAUUUUCAUAGUUUUUUAUAGGAAAAUAAAUCAGGUCAAGGUGCAGUUAAUAAUUAAGUUUUUUAUGGGUUACAAUAAAUUUAUUUAAGCGGAUUAUAAAAUGAAAAUUUUAUAUGAAGAUGGAUUUAAAAGUAAAUUUUUAAAG
rnacentral:rRNA from 1 species